rnacentral:rRNA from 1 species
UGGGGAAUUUUGGACAAUGGGCGCAAGCCUGAUCCAGCCAUGCCGCGUGCGGGAAGAAGGCCUUCGGGUUGUAAACCGCUUUUGUCAGGGAAGAAAUCUUCUGAGUUAAUACCUCGGGAGGAUGACGGUACCUGAAGAAUAAGCACCGGCUAACUACGUGUCAGCAGCCGCGGUAAUACGUAGGGUGCAAGCGUUAAUCGGAAUUACUGGGCGUAAAGCGUGCGCAGGCGGUUUUGUAAGACAGAGGUGAAAUCCCCGGGCUCAACCUGGGAACUGCCUUUGUGACUGCAAGGCUUGAGUGCGGCAGAGGGGGGAUGGAAUUCCGCGUGUAGCAGUGAAAUGCGUAGAUAUGCGGAGGAACACCGAUGGCGAAGGCAAUCCCCUGGGCCUGCACUGACGCUCAUGCACGAAAGCGUGGGGAGCAAACAGGAUUAGAUACCCUGGUAGUCCACGCCCUAAACGAUGUCAACUGGUUGUUGGGAAGGUUCCUUCUCAGUAACGUAGCUAACGCGUGAAGUUGACCGCCUGGGGAGUACGGCCGCAAGGUUG